rnacentral:tRNA from 1 species
UGUCUCAGAUGGUAAAGAAUCUGCCUGCAGUGCAGAAGAUCCGGGUUCAAUCCCUGG